CGGCAAGUCCUACACAACCAGCUCCUUUUGAACCCUCCAGGGCGGGAACGCAGCAAAGGUAAUUAGUUGAGCGGUGUGAUGUAGGUAGCUUGCCAUUU
rnacentral:SRP_RNA from 1 species